rnacentral:rRNA from 1 species
AGCAGCCGCGGUAAUUCCAGCUCCAAUAGCGUAUAUUAAAGUUGUUGCAGUUAAAAAGCUCGUAGUUGAAUUUCGGGAUCAAUUUAUUGGUCGUGCUAUUGUACGUACUGGUAUUAUUGAUUCCUACCUUCUGACGAACCAUGAUGUCAUUAAUUUGGUGUCAUGGGGAAUCAGGACUGUUACUUUGAAAAAAUUAGAGUGUUUAAAGCAGGCUCACGCUUGAAUACAUUAACA